rnacentral:rRNA from 1 species
GUAACGGGGAAUUAGGGUUCGAUUCCGGGAGAGGGAGCCUGAGAAACGGCUACCCACAUCCAAGGAAGGCAGCAGGCGCGCAAAAUUACCCAAUCCCGACACGGGGGAGGGUAGUGACAAAUAAAUAACAAACACAGGGGCUCCUUAGGGGUCUUGUUAUUGGAAAUGAGUACGAUUUAAAUCUCCUAACGAGGAACAAUUGGAGGGCAAGUCUGGUGCCAGCAGCCGCGGUAAUUCCUGCUCCAAUAGCGUAUAUUAAAGUUGUUGCAGUUAAAAAGCUCGUAGUUGAAUUUCAGGCCUGGCUGGACGGUCCGCCCUUCGGGUGAGUACUGUCUGUGGUCGGGUCCUACCUUCUGGCGAAGCGUCAUGGCCUUAACCGGCCGUGGCGGGGAACCAGGACUUUUACUGUGAAAAAAUUAGAGUGUUCAAAGCAGGCAAUCGCUUGGAUAUAUUAGCAUGGAAUAAUGGAAUAGGACAAUGGUUCUAUUUGUUGGUUUCUAGGACUGUUGUAAUGAUUAAUAGGGAUAGUUGGGGGCAUUAGUAUUCGAAUUGUCAGAGGUGAAAUUCUUGGAUUUAUUAAGACUAACUACUGCGAAAGCAUUUGCCAAGGAUGUUUUCAUUAAUCAAGAACGAAGGUUAGGGGAUCAAAGACGAUCAGAUACC